rnacentral:rRNA from 1 species
AGUGAACGCUGGCGGUAGGCCUAACACAUGCAAGUCGAACGGCAGCACAGUAAGAGCUUGCUCUUACGGGUGGCGAGUGGCGGACGGGUGAGGAAUACAUCGGAAUCUACUUUUUCGUGGGGGAUAACGUAGGGAAACUUACGCUAAUACCGCAUACGACCUACGGGUGAAAGCAGGGGAUCUUCGGACCUUGCGCGAUUGAAUGAGCCGAUGUCGGAUUAGCUAGUUGGCGGGGUAAAGGCCCACCAAGGCGACGAUCCGUAGCUGGUCUGAGAGGAUGAACGGACACAGUGGGAAUGAGAGAAGGCCCAGACUCGUACGGGAGGCAGCAGGGGGGAAUAUGGCACAACGGGCGGAAGGGUGAGGAAGCAACGACGCGGGCGGGAGGACGGGCUGAGGGGUGGAAAACGAUGGAGACUGGGACGAAGCGGGAGGGAAGGUAAGGGGUAAAGAAGAAAGGGCUAACUACGUG